rnacentral:tRNA from 1 species
GGGCCCAUAGUCUAGUCUGGAUAGGACAGAUGGCUUCGAACCAUUUGACCCGGGUUCAAAUCCUGGUGGGCCCU